GGCCUCGGGCUGGUGGGGCUGCGUGUCUCGUGUGGGGAGGAGCGCGGGGCGGCUGCGAGACUGAGGAAAAGGUCAUGUGGAAAGUGGGUGUUUCUACUGUCGGAACCUCUCAGAAGGAAAGUGUUUUCCAGUUGCUCCCCAAAAAUGUGUGAAGAAGGCUGAACAAACCCUCUGUAGCAAGAUUGGCAGCGCUAAGGAGGAAAGAGUUCAUGCACCAGCAGCAAAGGCAGAGAGUCCAUCACAGUCCUGCCUUGUUCUCUCCAGCCAGGCAGGAUGUGCUCUUUGUAUCAGGACAGCUGACAAUCAGUCAGGCCUCCCAUGUCCCAUCACCUCUAGGCUGGGAUUGGAGAAUGGAAUCUCUCCCACUGUAAGAACAGAGCAAGACAUACACCACCUCAUGAGACAGAAGGAUACAAGUCUAUGGGGCCAGAUGACAUCCAUCCCAGGGUCCUGAAGGAACUGGCUGAUGUGGUUGCCAAGGUGCUCUCCAUCAUAUUUGAAAAAGGGAGAAAGGGAGACCCAGGAUCUCUUCUCUGACUGGAAAGAUGAUGGAGCAGAUCAUCCUGGAAGAGAUGUAAAUGCACAUUCAAGAGGAGGAGGUGAUCCUAGACAGCCAGUCCAACCGAGGGCAGAUCAUUCCUGACUGAUCUGGUGGCCUAUGAUAGAAUGAUGGCCUUGGUAGACAAAGAGAGGGCAACAGAUGUCUUCUGCUUGGACUUGUGCAAGGCUUUUGACAUGAUCCCACACCAUAUCCUUGUUUCUAAAUUGCAGAGAGAUGAAGGCUGGACUAGUUGGUGAAUAAAGAGGUGAUUGGAUGGUCACAGCCAGAGGAUUGUGGUCAACGGCUCUUUGAGUAGAUAGAGGCCGGUCAUGAGUUGUGCCCCUCAGGAACCAUCUUGGGACUAGUGCUCUUCAGCAUUUUAAUUAAUGAAAUAGACAAGCAGUGUGUGUUUGCAGCACAGAAGGUCAACUGUAUCCUGGGCUGAAUCAAAAUGGGGGUGGCCAGCAGACCAAGGGAUAUGAUUAUUCUCUUGGUCUCUUCCCUUGUAAGGUCCCAUUUGGAGCACUGCAUCCAGGUCUGUGGCCCCCAGCACAAGAUGUGGAGCUUUUGGAACAGGUGAGCCUUCAAGGAGAGCCUCGAAGGCGGUCAGAGGGCUGAAGCACCUCUCUUGUGAAGGAGAAAAGUUGAGGGAGCUGGGCUUGUUUAACUUGAAGAGGGGAAAGCUCCAGGAAGACCUCAUUGAGACCUUCCAGUAUUUGAAGGGAGCUUAUAAAGUGGAGUGGGACUGACAUUUUACAUGGUCUGAAAGUGGUAGGACAAGGGGAAAUGGUUUCAAACUAAAAGAAGGGAGAUUUAGGUUAGGUACUGGGAGGAGGUUCUUCACUCAGAGGAUGGUGAGACGCUGGAAUAGGUUGCCCAGAGAAGCUGUGGAUGCCCCAUCCUUGUAGGUGUUCAGGUUGGAUGGGGCCCUGGGCAGCCUAAUUUAGUGGGUAGUAACCCUGUCCACGGCACAGCUGUUGAAACUAGAUGGUCUUUGAAGUUCCUUCCAACCUAAGCCGUUCUAGGAUUGUUUUAGCACAUAUAUGGGUUGGAAAUGACAUGCAGAUGGUUCUUGCUGUGCUGUCACUUAGCUUCCUUUCUGAACGAUGAGGAAAGCUGCAGAUAAAUUGAUAUCAGCAUAAUCCGAUUAAGAGACAAUGAGUUGGAAAGAGUAAGAAGCUUAGAAGAGCCUGCUAGCAUUUCAGUUGUGUUAAGGCUGGGACAAAGGGGGAGUGUUUCAUAUGGUAUGUUAUGAGUAAUGAGGAGUCAAAAACUGGGGUAUAGAUAUGUUAAAGGAAUGUUUAGUCUCAAUUUCAGAAAAGAUGUUCUGUAAGCUGUUACACUGAUUGAUUUGUUUCCCAUGGGAAAUAAUGAGGACAAGAUCUUUAAAACGAAAUGGAGCAAAGAAUGAGAAAAUUUACAAACAAAACCUGUCCCGAACUGGCCCAGUGUGAAAAACAAGCACCCUUCCCUCCUUUUCUGCCCUCUGUGGUUCUUGCUCCCAAGUUAAUUCCUCUCCAUUAAUCCUUAAUUAUAUGAAUUGCCACAAUGUAUGAGAUGUUUGUUUACAUGGUGUGUUCUUUCCCACUUGUCCCACUUUUCUCCUGGAUACUUUUCCUCCCUUCUCCUUCCUAUGCUUGCUUCCUCUCAUCCUCUCACACCCUACUACCUGCCCACAGAAGCCAGGCUGGAUCUCUUCUUGUUCAUGGUUCAUGGUCUUGGAGAGUUAAUUGCUGUGGAAGGCUGUGGUGUGCUGUGAUCUGAUGCUAGCAGCUUACUAGCAAGAAGACACAGAUUUUCAUCCAUUCAGCCCUAUGGACCUUAUAAACGGUGGGGAAAACUGUUGUCUCCAUUUUGCUUUUACAUGGUAGUUGAGAGGUAGCCAAUAGAAAAGGUUUACUUGAAGUGGCAAGUCAGGGUCAGGAAUAGGUUGACUCAGUCCUCUGGUAUCUCAUCUCAAAUCCUUUCCCCUGGCUGGCAAUUCCCACAGUCCUGUGGGUGCUGUCUGAUGUAUCUGUUCAGGAAGGGCAGGUGGAGCACAGUUGGCAAUGUGAGAGCACUCCCAGCAUGUCAGGCAGUACAGUGGGAAAAAGGUAAUGCAGGGCCAAGCUGGGCUCAGGACUUAGGUGUGAUGCUGGAAACUUCCCAUGGGUUAAACAUUUAAACUGUUGUUGCUGUUUCUUUCAACAAAUAAGCAAGGCAUACAUUGCAAUUUAUACCAAGUAAGGAAGUCUCUAUAAAACAUUCCCCAGAUUUGAAGUAAUCAUGUUUUUCAAUGGAAUAAAAAAAAAAAAAAAAUUGGCACAUAGCAUCUUCUCUUAAGCCUAGGCAAGACACACACAUUCAUUUCCAGUAGCAGCACAAAGCGUUCUGACUGUAACUAGGUGAGAAUGCUAAACAGACCCGGUUUCCCUGUUGGUGUCUGAAAACAAGGAUAAAUUCCUCAGCAGACAAGAGACAGAUGGUGCAGACAUUGCUACAAUCCUGGCUUUCUGGCAUUAGAAAGUUGUGCAAAUCCAAAGGUUCAGAGUGUGAAAGAUUCUUAAUUAAUUGUUAUCUCUAUCGGGAUGCUGUCAUUCUUUGCCAGUAGCACAGAGGGCUUGCAGUAAGCUUAGCUCUAGCAGGCAGGCAAAAUAUUUCUGUGAUGGCUUUAAUUCAUCCUUGGCUGGAUGAAUAAUGCACUGUUUGUCAUGCAGAGUAAGGGAAGUGAGACUCUUGUUGUUCUAGAUAGACAGAAGGCUAGAAAAGAGGUGCAGUUUUGGACAGCUAUUCUCUCCUGAUGCACUUGAGGAGUUUGUGGGGGAAUGUCUGAAUUCAACACUGUCAUGGGUUUGAUAUUUGUAGUGUUGCAUGCUGCACUGAAGUGUGAACAGCAUGUCUAUGCUGCCGUGCAUCACCAUCAAACUGCUUCAGUACUGACCAUCCAGAUCAGGGCAGCACACACAUGGGCUGGAAGUUCUCCUUAUUCAUCCAAUGACUGCUGCUGCAUUGCUGCACUCUAGGGUUUCUUUCUUGGUCUGUAGUGGGAAUCCCUACUGAAAAUGAAAGGACUCGGGAAGCUAAGGGACAGGUAAGGGGACACCCAUAGCUUCUUGUUUGGCAUAAAGGAGCCACAGUGGUGAAUAUGAGCAAGUUGUUGUCAAUGAAGUUAAGCUGGUGUGUGGAGUGGAAGGCUGUUUGGUGAUUAGGUUGGGGACAAUGGCAGGCUGGAAGAGGAGCAGUGAAAGAAAGAUCACAGAUGGAAAGUGGGAGUAGAGAUAGGAAAGCUGGUUGUCUUGUAUAGAAACUGGGAGAUGAGGGGAGAAUAUUAGCUAGCUGGAAAGAAAGGGCCUAGAUCAAAGAACUCAAAAUAAGGAAGGGAAAAAACAAGACAGUGCAGGAAGGGAAUCAUCUGUAAUGAUUUGGAAAGACAUAUCUGUCCAAGGAGCACAGCUCCUUAUAUCUUGAAAGGAACUUAUUCUCCUCUGCUGUCAAGAAGUCCCUGGAACUUGAGAGCAGUGUGUCCUGUAUGGUUGUAGAACAGACAUAUCUUUUUCAGUUAUCUGAUGUUAGCUCAGGUGAGAAGUAUCCUGUGCAUCAGUGUUUCUGAUGAGCCUGUAUGACCUGGUUUUGCCAAACCCUGCUGUCUUAGACUGUCACUUACCUCUUAACUCUACCAUUUGUGACAUUUACAUAGAUAGAGUUUUAUGUUGCUUUCAACAGUUCUGUUAAGUUGGAUUUAGUCAAUUCCGGGUCCAAGACCAUUCAACAUCUUCAUUAAUGAUCAAGAUGAUGGGCACAGUGCAUUCUCAACAACUUUACAGAUGAUGCAAAACUGUGAGGAGUGAUGUGUACAGCAGUGGGUCAUGCUGCCUUCCAGAGAGAUCUUAGCAGUCUGGAGAAAUGGCCUAGCAGGAACCUCAUGUAAUUCAACAAGGAGAAAUGCAAAGCUGGGAAGGAGCAACUUCUGGGAAGAAGCACCAAGACAUGCUGGGGGCACUCAGCUGGAAAACAGCUUCUCAGAGAAGGACCUGGGGGCCCUGAAUGAAAACAAGUGGAACAUGAGCUAGCAGUGAGCUCUUGUUUCUAGGAGGGCCAAUGGCAUUCGGGGCUGUGUCAGGCAAAGUGCUGCCAGCAAGUCAAUAGCGGUAAUCUUUCCCUUCUGCUCAGCACUGGUGAGACCACAGCUGGGAUGCUUUGUCCAGUUCUGGGCUCCUCUGUACAAGAGAAACACGGAUAGAGUCCAGUGGAGGACCAAUAAGCUGAUGAAGUAACUGGAGAACCCCCAGUUGUUUCUAAACCACUCCUUUGAGGAGCCAUUUAGAAAGAUGGACUAUUCAGCCUGGAGAAGAAAAGGCUCAGGAGGAAUUUUGUCAAUGCGUACAAAAACCUGAAGGGAGGAUGCACAGAGAACAGAGCCAAGCUCUUUUCAGUGGUACUCAUUGCCAGGACAAGAGAUGAUGGGAACAAACUGGAGCGCAGGAUGUUCACUCUGAACACUAGGAAGCACUUUUUUGCUAUGCAGAUGACAGAGCAUUGGCACAGGUUGUGGAGUCCCUUCCCUGGAGAUUUUCAGAAGCUGACUGAACUUGGGUCUGGGUGUCCCUGCCCUAGGUGUCCCUGCUCAGGGUGUCCUUGCUUGAGCAGAGAUCAAAGCAGAUGGACUUAGAGGGCCUGCCAACCUCAACCAUGUUGUGAUUAUGUUGUUUCUGGGGUUUCCUCCCUUUACAUGCUGCUCGUAUACUCUUAAUUUUCAUGGUCUUGCUCCAUAGCAUGUUUUACCAGUUGGUCCUCUCCUCCCUUUUUUCCCAUAGUUCGACAUGGUAGACUGAAGUACCUGAGAGCCUCUGAGGAGAACUCUUGAGUGUGCAAAUAACUGAGCACCAGCAAAUGCAAGUGAAUGUUUUCAGUCGUUUCUUGGUGUGGUCAGCAGUGGUUCUGGACAGACGUGUUAUAUAUCUGUGCUGACUGAUUAGACAGGAUCCAGUCCUGCUAAGCAGUGUAUCUGGAAAAAUGUUAAUCAAACAAACCAGACAGUCAGUUUCAGUGGCUUACAGAGGAUUCUGAAAUGGUUUCUUACAUAUUUUUCAUUAUCAAAAGCAUGACAUAAAUGUUUAUUUGAUCCUCUCAGGAAUUAUAUUGUGAUUUCCCCCUUAAUUGAUUUGAAACAAGCUUUUCUCUUGUUUUUCACUAGUUCAGUUUUUUGGUAAUCUGUAUGCAUUUUUACAGUGUUCCAAAAUACCGAACAUUUAUAUGUGGCUCCCCAAAUGGAGAUUAUGGGAUGGGGGAAAAAGUAGAAGAAGAAACUACACUUUUUAAAUCAGUUCUGCCUCUAAUGCCGGAGGCUUCUUUUCAUCCAUAAGAAGGCAAAGUCAGAUUUGCUUAUCUUAGGGAUCUUAAAUGUGUUGUGCUUCAAACUCCUGCAGGCAAGAGAUCUCACCCACUUGGUGCUGUGCUGAGCCCAGGCUUGAGCUUACUGACCUUCCUGGAGCCUAAUGACUGUUGCUCCAUUAGAGCCUUUACAGCAUCAAAACAUUGGCUCAUUUGCCACCUUCUCACUCCCACCCUAUAAAUGAGGAUUGUGGGUUACUGCUGUGCAUCAUCAGUUUUGUGCAAUGUGACUGCUCCAUCACAUGUCAGAGCUGUUUUCUCAGUUCUUUCCCUCCAUGUCCUGAAAGCUUUUCAUUAGUCAUCUAAGGGAGAAAAAAAGUACCCAAACUCUGUAUUCAUAUUCCCAUGGUGAAUUUUCCUGACUGGAUUUUUUUAGAUACAGGCUUUGGAUCUGUGCUUAAAUUUUUGCAGUUGUCAACAGCCAGAUCAGGAAAUCAUUAUUUGCAAAAAAAAAAACAAAAACAAAAAACCAGGUCAUUUAGGCUUCCAGGCUUGUGGCUCACUUCAUUUCCUGGCAGACUGUGUAGCAUUCAGCUUUGGCUCUGCAGUGUGAGCCCUGCAUUUCUGGAAAUUUGGGUCACUUACUUCUAGGGGGUCAAGAAACAGAUUUAGAUUACUGCUUUCUAUCAUUCUAAGUUUAAAAAAUCUCUCUUUGUUUCUUACGUGGAGCUUCUGACACCAAGCAGUCCCUAUUAUUUAUAAUAAAAUCUUAAAAAUAGGUUAAAAAACCUGGGGGUCCCCUUAAAGUUAUUUGGAAAAUCCAGAGUGUCUAAACUGAACCCUUAUUAUCACUCUUGUGAUCUUUGACUGGCCUUUUGCAUGAACAUGUGGAAGAUUAAUCUUCAUGCUAUUUUGCAUGUACUUACAUGGUCCCCUGAUGCUAUUUCAACACCAUUGACAUGGCGUUUUUAGCUGGAGAACAUGUGUUAGAAUUAAACUUCUUGUUAGUCAAAGCGCUUCUCUGUUUCCUGUUUUUCUCCCAAGCCUUCAAUGAUCAUUUUGCUAGAGAAGCAGAGAUGCAGACACCCAGCCCUAGCACUGGUUCUAAACUCUGCCCAGAUCCUUAUUCACCUUCCCUCUGUGCUGAUUCUAGGCUUUUAUAGGUGGAUGUUCACUAGACAUGUUAUUCACAGUGUGUAAGGGGAGGUUGGGCUGCAUGAAUCAGAGCCCUGAUAGUCCCUGGCUCAGUUGUAUAGUGGUGUCUGACUCAGGCUUGUUUUGGUAGUCCCAGUCAUGGAUCUCAAAGCAACUGGAACUUCUUGCCCCUAUAAGGUACUGUGUAUUAGGCAUCACUUGCAGUGGUGUUAGUCUGUUCUAGUUGUUGCUAUUAUUAGUGCUGUGACUGUCCCACAAGGUGAUCGGCUCAUGUCUGAGUCCUAGCAGAUGGCUGGCUUGGCUCUCAGAGGUGACUUGCUUUCCCAACAGGCACUUCUAAAGAGGUGCUGGGAAAACAACACCAUGGUUUGUGGGCUUCAAUCUGGGAUCAAGCAAAGAAGGCACAUUCAUAGCAUCUUUCUUCCUUUGUUAAUUUUCAUACGGAUGUUACAAUGCAUAGGUUCACCUCUGUCAUAACUAUGUGGGUUGGCUCUUCUACUUGUUGUUGUCCUGUAUUUUUCUGUAGGUAUCCUGAGUCUCUGUUUCCCUCAGUACUUAGACACUACUUUUCAAGCCCUAUGCUAUAAAUGGGGUUUUAACCUCCGACUGCCUGGAAUCUCCCCUGACUUGGUACUGGCUUCACAAAUACCCUAUUCGAAGCUACUGAGGUUUCAAAAUAAAUAGCAGAAAAAGGAAAUUCAUUUCUAUGUGGUGAAAUUUACCAUUGUUUUUUGGUUAUCUUGGAACAGGUUAUCCACACCACUGGUUAACACUGCCACAGAUUUCCAGGCUUCCCCCCACCCCGUGCUGAUGCUAUUCUCUCCCUGCAUCCUCCCUCAUUUUCUCCUGUCCUCAUGGUCCUCCCAUCAGUCACAGGAUGGGACCGAAUGGUUUUAUACAGUGGCUCAGAGCACUUUAUGCUCUCCCUUGGGUGAUACGUGCUCAGGUGAUGGCCCCACCAUGGAGGUAAGUGUUGUUCAGCCUCCCAUUGCACCAUGUUGGCUGUGUUCAGCCCCGUCUUCCACUCUCGUUGCCCAGAUGAUUAGUGAGGACUGUGUCUGAAGUACAGGAGUGCCAACUGUCUCUUAAAACAGUGUGCUCUCUUAAAACUCAUGUGGUGGGGGAAAGGGGGGAAAGAAAUCCAACAGUACUUCCCUCCUCACUCUGAUAAGCCAUGGCAUCACAAAGUACUCACCAGGAAAUUCCCCAUUAAACACUUGCAAUAGUGUGCAGGUUUAUAUAGUUGCAGAAAGUGAAUGGCAGAUGGCUGUGUCUUAGCAGAAGACCUGUCAGGUUGUUGUAACAUAAGGACAGACUGUGAAUGGGAGUCACAGCUCUAAUUUCUUUCUCCUUCAUUACCUGUUGAGAAGGCCAAACCAGCCAACCCUGUGACACAGUGUUCUUGCUGCAGAACUCCUUUCUUGAGGUAACUGCUUAUCAGCUGUGGUUUGUUUUGAGCUUUGUGGACCUACUGGUUUUGCUGAGGUGGGCCCCUUAGGAAGAACACUUGCUGUGCGCUGGACGUGGUAUUUUCAGCCCAGGGUCCUUGUCUAUCUCACCCCCCUGUCAGAUCUAAUGAGAACCCAGUCUGGAGAGGCAUUCCUGCAUUUGUGCCACUGAAAUACGUGGGUAGGUAGUCCACCUGACUGCAGGGAGAAUGUGGCAUGUUUAAAUACAGGCAGACUUUGGGCUUUGAGGCCCAAAGAGUGAGCUUUAUCUUGUGGGGUGUUGAAUGGUGUUGACUUUUACUACAGCCAGGAAGGUUUGAGGGAGGUUAGUGCUCUGAUGGGCUGGGGCUCUUUUUCCUGUGGAAUUUCCCCUGCUUUCCUGCUGUAGGGUUCACUAGAGGGACUUCGAUCAGACCCAUUCCACUCCAUUGAAAUCCAUAGGCUUUCACUGUAGCCAGAGCACUGUGAUAGGAAAUCGUGGCCAGGGUCUAUGGGGCAAUGGCAAGUCCCUCAGUGAUCUGGCUCUGGCCCUGAGCAGCACUAGUUGUUAAAACGGCCAAGAAGAAUUUGAAUAAGCUAAACCCUUUACAUGACUAAGUAAUAAAUUGUUUAUGCAGCAUAAUUGGGGAAAGAAGGAAGACAAUUUCUAAGUCUGACAAGAAAGCCAGCUUUUUAUUAACAGCCUUAUUUAGCCUGGAAUUAUCAUAUUAAGUGGUGCUGCUCUGUACUACCGUAGCACAUAGCUGCUAGGAAAUUGCUUCAAAGAAAAAGGGAAACAAGUUGCAGAACCAAGGGUCAGCUGUUCAGCAAGAAGUCAUCUUUCCCACAUGAAAGCCCAUUGGGUUGCACACCUUUACAUCUGCUGACCUUCUCUCCAUCUCAGUUCACUAGCAGAGAAUUAAUAAUAACAAUCCAUUGGAAUAUUUUAGCAGAUAUUCAACUAUUACUUGUAUUACUGUUAGCAACCAGUUGAGGAAGGUGGCCUAGAAUGCGAUCCUAUUGCCUAAGGUUGGUAUUGCAACUGUGGUUGCCAAAGAGAUGUCUGAGAAUUAGGCAUCCAGCUGUCAUUCAGCAGGAUUUAUGCUCUCAGCUCUCUGGCUUUGUAGGCUUUAAAUAUUUCAUGUAUUAUGUAGUGAAGCUGUAACGUUUGAAUUCUGUGGAAUAAACACUGUCAUGGCAAGCAAAAAGGAUAGUAAUAGCAAUGGAAAGUAAUUUAAUAUAUCAGCAAAGAUAACCUAAUAUUGUCCACUAGAGACACAUUAGACAUGAAUGUAAUAUUAUAUUGCUAUGGAGAUAUUUAAAAAAAAAAAAAGAAUAUUGGCAGCACCCUUUUCCACUGAAAUCCAGGGACUGUUCUCUGAGACUUGAACUAGAUCAACUGUAGCUGAGCUCUGGUUGCUGCUGAAAAUUCCAGCAGUGGGACAGCAAUUGUAUGCAUAUACAUCCAACUGCACACCCUCAUAGGGGUAACGGCUGCCUGGAAGGUUUGUUAUUCACAAGCUUAUCAGCCAUGGAGAUUGCACUCCAAAUAUAGCUCUGGGGUUACUGAAGGCAUUUUUGACCUGACGGAAGUUGAUGGGGUUUUUGGCAUCACCGUCUGCCAGGCUAUGAUUCCAUCCUUUGUAUUAAAACAUAUAGGAUAGCUUUAACUCUGCAGAAACUUUAAUGUUAUAUGGCAGGAUUUCCUCAUGCUCUGGAAAAAGAGUGUGAUACAGAGGAUGUUUUCGUUCUUGAUUUUUGGAAACUAGAACAGCCAAGCUUGUGUCUUCGUGAAAAUAGGACUCAUUCAGUGUAUCAUGUUGUUCCAAAAUGCCUAGUAAACAUUUCUGUGUUAAGGCCUGACCUAAGCUUAUCAUUUAAAGAUUUUUUUUUUCUAUCUGAACCCUAUUUUUUAUUAGGCUGAGUUUGUCUUUUAAGCUCUGCUGCAUGUGAAUUUUGGAGGGAGAAACAGAAAGAUUAAAAUUGAUGCAGCAGUCAAAAGGGAUCCCGUGGGCAAAGCCAUAGUGGGUUGUGUCCUCUUCAGAUCAGCAGAAAAGGGACCUAAUUCAGCAGUCGUUAGUGAUGCUGGAGGAAAGCAAUGAGUUGGCACCAGAUCAUCAUGCUCUACAUGAGGGCACAGAAGAGGAUGGUUUGAGAACAGCUGCUGCAACAACAGGGGAAAUGCUGAGUUUUGUGUAUGGUACCAAAAAGAAUUCAACUUAGUUACAGUUUGGUAAAUGGGGAGAAAAACAGGGAUGAAGAACCUGUGAGUCCCCUAGCAAGGAGGGAUGGUUGCCAAUGCCCACAGGCAGUGAUGAUCUUUGGGGAUUCCAGAUCCUGGAAACUCUAGGGAUGGCAAGAGACCCAAUCCCUUUGAGGAGAUCUGAGCCACCCCUUAUAGGAGAGCUAAAGAUAAAGGGGGGUAGCCUAGAGCAACCCUACUGACUUGUUUAAAAUCCCUCCCAAUCUGAAAUUGAGUUAGCAGAUCUGUCUUUUGUUUUCAUUCCUGAGUAAAAACAGCUGGGGUGAAAGGAAAAAGCCAG